rnacentral:rRNA from 1 species
CCUACGGGUGGCAGCAGUGAGGAAUAUUGGUCAAUGGUCGGGAGACUGAACCAGCCAAGCCGCGUGAGGGAUGAAGGUACAGAGUAUCGUAAACCUCUUUUGUCAGGGAACAAAGGCGGGGACGUGUCCCCGGAUGAGUGUACCUGAAGAAAAAGCAUCGGCUAACUCCGUGCCAGCCGCCGCGGUAAUACGGGGGAUGCGAGCGUUAUCCGGAUUUAUGGGGUUAAAAGGGUGCGCAGGCGGUCUGUUAAGUCAGCGGUAAAAGCCGGGGGCUCAACCCCGCCCCGCCGUUGAAACUGGCAUUCUCGAGUUGGUGAGAGGUAUGCGGAAUGCGCGGUGUAGCGGUGAAAUGCAUAGAUAUCGCGCAGAACUCCGAUUGCGAAGGCAGCAUGCCGGCUCCACACUGACGCUGAGGCACGAAAGCGUGGGUAUCGAACAGGAUUAGAUACCCGGGUAGUC